UACUAGAGUAGCACUCGCAUAUCAAUAAGCGGAGGAAAAGAAACUAGCAAGGAUUCCCCUAGUAACGGCGAGUGAAGCGGGAAGAGCUCAAAUUUGAAAUCUUAAAGGGUUUCCCUUUACGAAUUGUAGUUUAAAGAAGUGUUUUCUGUUGAGGUUUUGGUAAAAGUUCUUUGGAAUAGGACAUCAUAGAGGGUGAGAAUCCCGUAUUUGACCUUUACUUUCAACUUUGUGAUACACUUUCAAAGAGUCGGAUUGUUUGGGAAUGCAGUCCAAAAUGGGUGGUAAAUUUCAUCUAAAGCUAAAUAUUGGCGAGAGACCGAUAGCGAACAAGUACCGUGAGGGAAAGAUGAAAAGAACUUUGAAAAGAGAGUUAAACAGUACGUGAAAUUGUCAAAAGGGAAGCGUUUGACACCAGUGUUGUUUUUCUGAAAAUCAAUUAAAGAACUGUUUAUGCUAAGUUGUUUAGACUUUAUCAGCUAACUGUUUAGUUUUGAGCUUUUCUUUAAUGCACUUUUCAGUUAACAAGUCAACAUCAAUUUCUUUUGCUGUAAAAAAGCUUGAGGAAGGUGGCUUGAGAUUCGUCUUAAGUGUUUAUAGCCUCUUGCCUAUGCAGUCGGAGAGAUUGAGGUCUGCAGCGUAGAUCCUUCGGGGCUAAAUGCAUUUGUGCUAAGUUAUAGCAUUUUAUAGACAACUUGUUGACUAUGAUUUGUCUUGUAGCUUACUCGCUUAUGUUAUUUUACCUACGCUUAGGAUGUUGAACUACUGAGACAUAGA
rnacentral:rRNA from 1 species